rnacentral:rRNA from 1 species
AGCGAAGCGACGUCAAACCGAUAAAACAGCAGUGUAAAGUGAGCCGCAGGGCGCUUUGCGCGACAGCGCAAAGGCAGGCGGUUUCGCGUAGCGAAAGCGAAUGCUUUGGGGUGGGGUGACUGCGUACCUUUUGUAUAAUGGGUCAGCGACUUAUAUUCUGUAGCAAGGUUAACCGAAUAGGGGAGCCGGAGGGAAACCGAGUCUUAAUUGGGCGUUAAGUUGCAGGGUAUAGACCCGAAACCCGGUGAUCUAGCCAUGGGCAGGUUGAAGGUUGGGUAACACUAACUGGAGGACCGAACCGACUAAUGUUGAAAAAUUAGCGGAUGACCUGUGGCUGGGGGUGAAAGGCCAAUCAAACCGGGAGAUAGCUGGUUCUCCCCGAAAGCUAUUUAGGUAGCGCCUCGUGAAUUCAUCUCCGGGGGUAGAGCACUGUUUCGGCUAGGGGGCCAUCCCGGCUUACCAACCCGAUGCAAACUGCGAAUACCGGAGAAUGUUAUCACGGGAGACACACGGCGGGUGCUAACGUCCGUCGUGAAGAGGGAAACAACCCAGACCGCCAGCUAAGGUCCCAAAGUCAUGGUUAAGUGGGAAACGAUGUGGGAAGGCCCAGACAGCCAGGAUGUUGGCUUAGAAGCAGCCAUCAUUUAAAGAAAGCGUAAUAGCUCACUGGUCGAGUCGGCCUGCGCGGAAGAUGUAACGGGGCUAAACCAUGCACCGAAGCUGCGGCAGCGACACUGUGUGUUGUUGGGUAGGGGAGCGUUCUGUAAGCCUGU